UACGAGGGGGGCAAGCGUUGUUCGGAAUUAUUGGGCGUAAAGGGCGCGUAGGCGGUGCGGUAAGUCUGAUGUGAAAUCUCCGGGCUCAACUCGGAGUCUGCAUCAGAAACUGCCGGGCUUGAGUGUGGGAGAGGUGAGUGGAAUUCCUGGUGUAGCGGUGAAAUGCGUAGAUAUCAGGAGGAACACCUGUGGCGAAAGCGGCUCACUGGACCAUAACUGACGCUGAUGCACGAAAGCGUGGGUAGCAAACAGG
rnacentral:rRNA from 1 species